UACGAGGGGAGCAAGCGUUGUUCGGAUUUACUGGGCGUAAAGGGCGCGUAGGCGGCAUGACAAGUCACUUGUGAAAUCUCCGGGCUUAACUCGGAACGGCCAAGUGAUACUGUUGAGCUAGAGUGCGGAAGGGGCAAUCGGAAUUCUUGGUGUAGCGGUGAAAUGCGUAGAUAUCAAGAGGAACACCUGAGGUGAAGACGGGUUGCUGGGCCGACACUGACGCUGAUGCGCGAAAGCCAGGGGAGCAAACGGG
rnacentral:rRNA from 1 species